UAUAAAUUUGUGAACGAAAAUAUUCCGAGUUUAGUUUGUUACACCGUCUAGCAAGCAAUACACAUAGUUGUUAAUUUGAUUUCCAAUCAUAUAGAGUGGAAGAUUUAUAUAUUUAUAGCUUCUGUUCUCAUUGUGACAAAUUUUCCUUCGCAAUUUAUACACAAUGGAUAUAUUGAUCAAAAUUCUAGUAUUGCUACGAAUAAGCUAUUUCAUAAGCGGCAUCGUUGCAUUGCCGUUGUCACAAACUUCAACAGCACCACCAACGAAAUCACCAGAUCUGAUGGAAAUACCCGUUGUAUUCACACACGAUGUAAAUCCAUUUGAUCCUUCAUCGAUUUCAUUUCAAUUGGGUAGCAAUUUAAAUGUAUCAAAGCCGAGUCCAGACUCAAUAUCGAAAAGCCCAAUAGUGAAACUACAUCAAGUCAUACCGUUGUUGAAACUGGAAGAACCGUUGAAUCCACCGUUGGCAAAACUGAAUAACACAAGACAAAUGCGUGUGCACAUAUUUCGCCCGUUGUUUGUUUACCGCCAAGAGCAAGCGAUGAAAAAUCGUCCGAUGGACGGCAGACCUUCUUUCGAUCCAGAUCGCUUCUAUUACAAUUAUCCAUACUACCAUCACUAUCAUCAUCAAAAACAACAACACCAACAGCAUCAAUACGCCAUUGGCUAUCCCGAUUUCUAUGAAUCAUAUCCUUUCAAGAACUAUGACUAUGUGACAAAUGAUUUGUCGGCCGACCGAUUUCCUACCUAUGACUUUUGGUAUCCAUGAAGGUGUAAUUAUAGAUUUCACGCCAUUCAACCGAAUUAAUAACUUAAAUAAUAUGUGAAUGAAAUGUUCAUUUGUAAUGGGAUGCUUCGUCGUUAAAAGCCGAAUUGAAACAAUUUUGGAGUCCCUCGAAUACGGAAAUACCUUAGUUUUAUAGUAUUAUUUUAAUUUAUUUAUUUAAUGUAAUGAACUUUGUAUUAUUAUCAAAAAUAUUAAU